rnacentral:rRNA from 1 species
GAUGAACGCUGGCGGCGUGCCUAAUACAUGCAAGUCGAGCGAACAGACGAGGAGCUUGCUCCUCUGACGUUAGCGGCGGUCGGGUGAGUAACACGUGGAUAACCUACCUAUAAGACUGGGAUAACUUCGGGAAACCGGAGCUAAUACCGGAUAAUAUAUUGAACCGCAUGGUUCAAUAGUGAAAGACGGUUUUGCUGUCACUUAUAGAUGGAUCCGCGCCGCAUUAGCUAGUUGGUAAGGUAACGGCUUACCAAGGCGACGAUGCGUAGCCGACCUGAGAGGGUGAUCGGCCAAACUGGAACUGAGACACGGUCCAGACUCCUACGGGAGGCAGCAGUAGGGAAUCUUCCGCAAUGGGCGAAAGCCUGACGGAGCAACGCCGCGUGAGUGAUGAAGGUCUUCGGAUCGUAAAACUCUGUUAUUAGGGAAGAACAAAUGUGUAAGUAACUAUGCACGUCUUGACGGUACCUAAUCAGAAAGCCACGGCUAACUACGUG